rnacentral:misc_RNA from 1 species
ACAAUCACCUGUUGUUAUAAGAAUACUAAAAACUAUAAUAUAUAGUAAUAAUUUUCUACUUGCACUUCUGGUUCUUCCACUUGAGAACCAACCCGGAGAGUGCCUUUGCAGAUGACCCUUCCUCGCUCAGAACCCUGGCAGCUGCGUCUUUUAGGUCCUUCAUUCUGUGGCGGACCUUCUUCCCUUCUUCGCCUUCCAUUAGGCCUCUCACUACUCUUUCAAUUUCUUUGCUUUCGAUUAGGCCAUUUUGAUCAUUAAUUCUUGGCCUCAGGGCAACCUUAAUAUCCUCAGUUAACAUCACAGCGUUCAUUUUCUGCUCAGCAUAGAGUGGCCAGGAGAUUAGUGGCACGCCAUUCACCACACUUUCAAGGGUGGAAUUCCAUCCACAAUGGGUUAAGAAC